CGCGCGUAGGCAUCAUUCGGAGUCGUUUCGUUUCGUCGCGUCAGUCUCCGUGAUUCUUCCGUACGUGCCGAGUCUGGUUUUCUUUAGCCGGUUCUUCAGGAUACCGUGUAUACCGAGCUACCCGUGGGUCUCGAGCGAUACUCUUCCGCGACGUAGACGGGAGUUGCGAAGUUCCCCUUAGCAAAGUUAUACAAUUCUUUUAUCACCCCGGGAAGGCGUUAAAUUUCGCCGACUGUUCUUUAUCUUCUUCAUCUUGCUCCGUGUGAUCCGCGUGUGACGGAAUUGGCGUAUCGUCGAUCUCAACCCUUGAAUACUCAGCCCCCGCUGCCAACAUGUUUCCCUAUGACAACUAUAAGAUGUAUAACUCGAAUGAAUUUGGACAGGACUCGCCAAGAUACACGUUACAAGGUACCCUUUACGCAGACUCUCACUAUAUCGACAGUAAUAUCGCAGGAACCGGUUCUGAAGAUGCGCGGACAGGUAGCAGUGGUAUUCAACCUUUAUACAGUGGAUAUGCACCCCCUCAACUGGCGCAGCCAACCUACCCAAUGCA